rnacentral:lncRNA from 13 species
AUGGCUCUGAACAAACUUUAUUUGACUCUUUGCAAACUGGAAUCCACAUAUCCUGAGGCUGCAUUCAUUGUAGCUGGGGAUUUUAACAAGGCUAAUCUGAAAACAAGACUCCCUAAAUUGUAUCAGCAUAUCGAUUGCGCAACCAGGGCUGGCAAAGCCUUGGAUCAUUGCUAUUCUAGCUUCGGUGACGCAUAUAAGGCCCUCUCCCGCUCUCCUUUCGGAAAAGCUGACCACAACUCCAUUUUGUUGCUCCCUGCCUACAAACAGAAACUAAAACAAGAAGCUCCCGCGCUGAGGUCUGUUCAACGCUGGUCCGACCAAUCUGAUUCCACACUCCAAGACCGCUUCCAUCACGUGGACUGGGAUAUGUUUCGUAUUGCGUCAGACAACAACAUUCACGAAUACGCUGAUUCGGUGAGCGAGUUCAUUAGAACGUGCGUUGAAGAUGUCGUUCCCAUAGCAACGAUUAAAACAUUCCCAAACCAGAAACCGUGGAUUGAUGGCAGCAUUUGCGUGAAACUGAAAGCGCGAACCACUGCUUUUAAUCAGGGCAAUGUGACCGGAAACAUGACCGAAUACAAACAGUGUAGCUAUUCCCUCCACAAGGUAAUCAAACAAGCUAAGCGUCAAUAUAGAGACAAAGUAGAAUCGCAAUUCAACGGCUCAGACACAAGAGGUAUGUGGCAGGGUCUACAGUCAAUCACGGAUUACAAAAAGAAAACCAGCCCAGUCACGGACCAGGAUGCCUUGCUCCCAGGCAGACUAAAUAACUUUUUUGCCCACUUUGAGGACAAUACAGUGCCACUGACACGGCCCGCUACCAAAACAUGUGGACUCUCCUUCACUGCAGCCGAGGUGAGUAAAACAUUUAAACGUGUUAACCCUCGCAAGGCUGCAGGCCCAGACGGCAUCCCCAGCCGCGCCCUCAGAGCAUGCGCAGACCAGCUGGCUGGUGUGUUUAUGGACAUAUUCAAUCAAUCCCUAUCCCAGUCUGCUGUUCCCACACGCUUCAAGAGGGCCACCAUUGUUCCUGUUCCCAAGAAAGCUAAGGUAACUGAGCUAAACGACUACCGUAGCACUCACUUCCAUCAUCAUGAAGUGCUUUGA